CAAUAGCGUAUAUUAACGUUGUUGCAGUUAAAAAGCUCGUAGUUGGAUUUCUGGUCGGAAGCUCCUGUCCUCUGAUGAGCGUACAAGUGCGUCCUACCAUCCUUCUGUUAACCUUUAAGGCUUUCGCGGCUUUCUAGGGGCUCAGAUAUUUUACCUUGAGAAAAUUAGAGUGUUUCAGGCAGGCUAGCGCCGGAAUACAUUAGCAUGGAAUAAUGGAAUAGGACUUUUGCCUCUUCUGUUGGUCAUGAGGCUCGAGUAAUGAUUAAUAGGGAUAGUUGGGGGCAUUAGUACUUAACUGUCAGAGGUGAAAUUCUCGGAUUUGUUAAAGACUAACUUAUGCGAAAGCAUUUGCCAAGGAUGUUUNCAUUAA
rnacentral:rRNA from 1 species